GACGAACCGUGCGAACGUUGUUCGGAAUCACUGGGCUUAAAGGGCGCGUAGGCGGUUCGCCAAGUCUGGGGUGAAAUCUUUCGGCUCAACCGGAAAAUUGCCUGGGAUACUGGCGGGCUCGAGGGAGGUAGGGGUUGCGGGAACUUCCAGUGGAGCGGUGAAAUGCGUUGAUAUUGGAAGGAACGCCAGUGGCGAAAGCGCGUAACUGUACCUCUUCUGGCGCUGAGGCGCGAAAGCUAGGGGAGCAACCGGG
rnacentral:rRNA from 1 species